GACCGCUCCGGUGGUAUAAGUGGUUAUAGAUCCGCCUUAAAUGCUGGUGUUCGUGGGUUCGAACCCCAGCCGAGUCA